CUAGCAGAUUUCACCCCACUGACUAACUACCGAAUUGAGCGGAAGUAUGGUAUGUUUAGCCGAUUAGAUGCUUGCUCCUUUGUUGCCAACGUGUACGAUGAGGGAAACACACUAAGCAUUGUAACAGAUAGUCAUUUUCAUGGUACUCAUGUUGCUGGAAUAGCUACUGCCAACCACCCUGGGGAGCACUUGUUGAAUGGAGUGGCAC